AGCAUAAUGCUAGGCAAUGUCCAGCCGUUCCACCCGGCAUACAAGCUUAUGGAGCAGCCCCCUUUGAAGAUCUCCAGGUGGACUUCACAGAGAUGUCAAAGUGUAGAGGUGAUCGAGUGUGGAUCAAGAACUGGAACGUAGCCUCUUUGUGUCCACUGUGGAAAGGACCCCAGACUGUCGUUCUGAGCCCUCCCACCGCUGUGAAGGUAGAAGGAAUCCCAGCCUGGAUCCACCACAGCCAUGUAAAACCUGCAGCGCGUGAAACCUGGGAGGCAAGACCAAGCCCAGACAACCCUUUCAGAGUGACCCUGAAGAAGACGACAAGCCCUGCUCCAGUCACACCCGGAAGCUGACUGGUCCACGCACGGCCGAAGCCUGAGGAAGCUCAUCGUGAGAUUCAUUUUUCUUAAAUUUUGGACUUAUACAGUAAGGGCUUCAACUGAUCUUACUCAAACUGGGGACUGUUCCCAGUGUAUUCAUCAGGUCACCGAAGUAGGACAGCAAAUUAAAACAAUCUUUCUGUUCUAUAGUUAUUAUGAAUGUGUGGAAACAAUAAAAGAAACUUGUUUGUAUAAUGCCACUCAGUGCAAGGUAUGUAGCCCGAGAAAUGACCGACCUGAUGCGUGUUAUAACCCAUCUGAGCCCUCCGCAACCACCGUUUUUGAAAUAAGAAUAAGAACUGGCCUUUUCCUAGGUGAUACAAGUAAAAUAAUAACUAGAACAGAAGAAAAAGAAAUUCCCAAGCAAAUAACUUUAAGAUUUGAUGCUUGUGCAGCCAUUAAUAGUAAAAAGCUAGAAAUAGGAUGUGGUUCUCUUAACUGAGAAAGGAGCUAAAGAGUAGAAAAUAAAUAUGUUUGUCAUGAGUCAGGGGUUUGUAAAAAUUGUGCCUAUUGGCCAUGUGUUAUUUAGGCUACUUAAAAAAAGAACAAAAAGGAACCGGUUUAUCUUCAGAAGGGGGAAGCCAACCCCUCCUGUGCUGCCAGUCACUGUAACCCACUAGAACUAAUAAUUACCAAUCCCCUAGAUCCCCGUUGGAAAAAGGGAGAACGUGUAACCCUGGGGAUCAAUAGGACAGGGUUAAACCCUCAAGUUGCCAUUGUAAUUAGAGGGGAGGUCCACAAGUGCUCUCCCAAACCAGUAUUUCAAACCUUUUAUGAGGAGCUGAAUGUGCCAGCACCAGAACUUCUGAAAAAGACAAAAAAUUUGUUUCUCCAAUUAGCAGAAAAUGUAAUUUUCUUACUUACAUAACUGUUACUUCUUGUUAUGUACGCGGAGGAACCACUAUCGGAGACAGAUGGCCUUGGGAAGCCCAAGAGUUGGUGCCUACUGAUCCAGCUCCUGAUAUAAUUCCAGUUCAGAAGGCCGAAGCUAGCAACUUCUAGGUCCUAAAAACCUCAAUUAUUAGACAAUACUGUAGAGCUAGAGAAGGGAAAGACUUUAUCAUCCCUGUAGGAAAGCUUAAUUGUAUAGGACAGAAGUUGUAUAACAGCACAAUACAGACAAUUACUUAGUAGGGCCUAAACCACACUGAAAAGAAUCCAUUUAGUAAAUUUUCUAAAUUAAAAACUGCUUAGGCUCAUCCAGAAUCUCAUCAGGACUGGACGGUUCCCGCUGGACUAUACUAGAUAUGUAGGCACAGAGCCUACAUUCGGUUACCUAAUAAAUGGGCAGGCAGUUGUGUUAUUGACACUAUUAAGCCAUCCUUUUUCUUAUUACCCAUAAAAACGGGUGAGCUCCUAGGUUUCCCUGUCUACGCCGCCCGAGAAAAGAAAGGCAUAGUUAUAGGAAACUGGAAGGAGAAUGAGUGGCCCCCUGAAAGGAUCAUUCAGUAUUAUGGGCCUGCCACAUGGGCACAAGACGGCUCAUGGGGAUACCGAACCCCCAUCUACAUGCUCAAUUGGAUCAUACGGUUGCAGGCCAUCUUAGAAAUAAUUACUAAUGAAACUGGCAGAGCUUUGACUGUUUUAGCUUGGCAAGAAACCCAAAUGAGGAAUGCUAUCUAUCAGAAUAGACUGGCCUUAGACUACUUGCUAGUAGCUGAAGGAGGAGUUUGUGGAAAAUUUAACUUAACCAAUUGCUGCCUACAAAUAAAUGAUCAAGGACAGGUGGUUAAAAACAUAGUCAGGGACAUGACAAAGGUGGCACAUGUGCCUGUACAGGUUUGGCACGAGUUUAAUCCUGAGUCUUUAUUUGAAAAAUGGUUUCCAGCUAUAGCAGGAUUUAAAACCCUCAUUGUAGGUGUAUUGCUAGUGAUAGGAGCUUGCUUGCUGCUCCCCUGUGUAUUACCCUUGCUUUUUCAAAUGAUAAAAGGUUUUGUAGCUACUUUGGUUCAUCAGAAAACUUCAGCACACGUGUGUUAUAUGAAUCAGUAUCGCUCUAUCUCACCAAUAGACUCAAAAAGUAAAGAUGAGAGUGAGAACUCCCACUAAAAAGUGAAAAUGCUCAAAGGGGGGAAAUAUGGUGUGAGACCACCACGUCUCCUGUUGUCCUUCCCAGUUUCUCCCCAACCUCCCCUUUUCCCUAGUUUGUAAGACAGCAAAAAAGGGAGAAAGCAAAAAGUUGGAAAAAACAGAAGUAAAAUAAAUAGCCAGAUGACCUUGGCGCCACCACCUGGCCCUGGUGGUUAAAAUGACAAUAAUAUUAACCCCUGACCAAAACUACAGGUGUUAUCUGUAAAUCCCAGACAUUGUAUGAGAAAGCACUGUAAAAACUUUUUGUUCUGUUAGCUGAAGUAUGUAGCCCCCAGUCACGUUCCUCAGGCUUACUUGAUCUAUUAUGACUUUUUCACGUAGACCCUUUAGAGUUGUAAGCCCUUAAAAGUGCUAGGAAUUUCUUUUUCAGGGAGCUCGGCUCUUAAGACACGAGUCUACCGACGCUCCCGGCCGAAUAAAAAAACCUCUUCCUUCUUU
rnacentral:lncRNA from 1 species